rnacentral:rRNA from 1 species
UACGUAGGGCGCAAGCGUUAUCCGGAAUUAUUGGGCGUAAAGAGCUCGUAGGCGGUUUGUCGCGUCUGCCGUGAAAACCCGGGGCUCAACUCCGGGCCUGCAUUCGAUACGGGCAGACUAGAGUUCGGUAGGGGAGACUGGAAUUCCUGGUGUAGCGGUGAAAUGCGCAGAUAUCAGGAGGAACACCGGUGGCGAAGGCGGGUCUCUGGGCCGAUACUGACGCUGAGGAGCGAAAGCGUGGGGAGCGAACAGG